GUGCUUGCUUCAGUAGCACAUAUACUAAAAUUGCAAAAAUACAGAACAGAUUAGCAUGGCUCCUGUACAAGGAAGAAAUGUAAAUUCCAUAUUUUUAUAAAAUUAGU
rnacentral:snRNA from 1 species